rnacentral:rRNA from 1 species
GCUCAGGAUGAACGCUGGCGGCGUGCCUAAUACAUGCAAGUCGAACGAAUCUCUUUUAGAGAUGAGUGGCGAACGGGUGAGUAAUACAUAGGUAACCUGCCCCUGUGCGGGGGAUAACAGGAGGAAACUCCUGCUAAUACCGCAUAGCCAUGAGCACCGCAUGGAGCUCAUGCCAAAUAUCCUUUCGGGGAUAGCGCAGGGAUGGACCUAUGGCGCAUUAGCUUGUUGGCGGGGCAACGGCCCACCAAGGCAACGAUGCGUAGCCGGCCUGAGAGGGCGGACGGCCACAUUGGGACUGAGACACGGCCCAGACUCCUACGGGAGGCAGCAGUAGGGAAUUUUCGGCAAUGGGGGAAACCCUGACCGAGCAACGCCGCGUGAGCGAAGAAGGCCUUCGGGUCGUAAAGCUCUGUUGUAAAGGAAGAACGGCGCAUACAGGAAAUGGUAUGCGAGUGACGGUACUUUACCAGAAAGCCACGGCUAACUACGUGCCAGCAGCCGCGGUAAUACGUAGGUGGCGAGCGUUAUCCGGAAUCAUUGGGCGUAAAGAGGGAGCAGGCGGCCGCAAGGGUCUGUGGUGAAAGACCGAAGCUAAACUUCGGUAAGCCAUGGAAACCGGGCGGCUAGAGUGCGGAAGAGGAUCGUGGAAUUCCAUGUGUAGCGGUGAAAUGCGUAGAUAUAUGGAGGAACACCAGUGGCGAAGGCGACGGUCUGGGCCGCAACUGACGCUCAUUCCCGAAAGCGUGGGGAGCAAAUAGGAUUAGAUACCCUAGUAGUCCACGCCGUAAACGAUGGUCACUAAGUGUCGGGGGUCAAACCCCGGUGCUGCAGUCAACGCAAUAAGUGACCCGCCUGAGUAGUACGUUCGCAAGAAUGAAACUCAAAGGAAUUGACGGAAGG